rnacentral:misc_RNA from 1 species
GACGAAGAACGUAGUGAAAUGCGAUAAGUAAUGUGAAUUGCAGAAUUCAGUGAAUCAUCGAAUCUUUGAACGCACAUUGCGCCCGGUAGUAUUCUGCCGGGCAUGCCUGUUCGAGCGUCAUUUCAACCAUCAAGCCCCAGCGCUUGUGUUGGGGGCCUGCGGCUGCCGCAGCCCCCUAAAAGCAGUGGCGGGCUCGCUAUCACACCGAGUGCAGUAGUUCAUCUUCUCUCCGGUCUUGUGAGGCGGGUUCCGGCCGUGAAACACCCCACUACAUUCAAGGUUGACCUCGGAUCAGGUAGGAAUACCCGCUGAACUUAAGCAUAUCAAUAAGCGGAGGA